AAAUUGAAGAGUUUGAUCAUGGCUCAGAUUGAACGCUGGCGGCAGGCCUAACACAUGCAAGUCGAACGGUAGCACAGAGAGCUUGCUCUCGGGUGACGAGUGGCGGACGGGUGAGUAAUGUCUGGGAAACUGCCUGAUGGAGGGGGAUAACUACUGGAAACGGUGGCUAAUACCGCAUAACGUCGCAAGACCAAAGAGGGGGACCUUCGGGCCUCUUGCCAUCAGAUGUGCCCAGAUGGGAUUAGCUGGUUGGUGAGGUAACGGCUCACCAAGGCGACGAUCCCUAGC
rnacentral:rRNA from 1 species